rnacentral:rRNA from 1 species
GACGAACGCUGGCGGCGUGCUUAACACAUGCAAGUCGAACGAUGAAGCCUAGCUUGCUAGGUGGAUUAGUGGCGAACGGGUGAGUAAUACGUGAGUAACCUACCUUUAACUCUGGGAUAAGCCUGGGAAACUGGGUCUAAUACCGGAUACGACCAAUCUCCGCGUGGGGUGUUGGUGGAAAGCGUUAUGUAGUGGUUAUAGAUGGGCUCACGGCCUAUCAGCUUGUUGGUGAGGUAACGGCUCACCAAGGCGACGACGGGUAGCCGGCCUGAGAGGGUGACCGGCCACACUGGGACUGAGACACGGCCCAGACUCCUACGGGAGGCAGCAGUGGGGAAUAUUGCACAAUGGGCGCAAGCCUGAUGCAGCGACGCCGCGUGAGGGAUGACGGCCUUCGGGUUGUAAACCUCUGUUAGCAGGGAAGAAGAGAAAUUGACGGUACCUGCAGAGAAAGCGCCGGCUAACUACGUGCCAGCAGCCGCGGUAAUACGUAGGGCGCGAGCGUUGUCCGGAAUUAUUGGGCGUAGAGAGCUUGUAGGCGGUUUGUCGCGUCUGCUGUGAAGGCCGGGGCUUAACCCCGUGUAUUGCAGUGGGUACGGGCAGACUAGAGUGCAGUAGGGGAGACUGGAAUUCCUGGUGUAGCGGUGGAAUGCGCAGAUAUCAGGAGGAACACCGAUGGCGAAGGCAGGUCUCUGGGCUGUAACUGACGCUGAGAAGCGAAAGCAUGGGGAGCGAACAGGAUUAGAUACCCUGGUAGUCCAUGCCGUAAACGUUGGGCACUAGGUGUGGGGAACAUUCCACGUUUUCCGCGCCGUAGCUAACGCAUUAAGUGCCCCGCCUGGGGAGUACGGCCGCAAGGCUAAAACUCAAAGAAAUUGACGGGGGCCCGCACAAGCGGCGGAGCAUGCGGAUUAAUUCGAUGCAACGCGAAGAACCUUACCAAGGCUUGACAUAUACUGGACCGCAUCAGAGAUGGUGUUUCCCUUCGGGGCUGGUGUACAGGUGGUGCAUGGUUGUCGUCAGCUCGUGUCGUGAGAUGUUGGGUUAAGUCCCGCAACGAGCGCAACCCUCGUUCUAUGUUGCCAGCACGUAAUGGUGGGGACUCAUAGGAGACUGCCGGGGUCAACUCGGAGGAAGGUGGGGAUGACGUCAAAUCAUCAUGCCCCUUAUGUCUUGGGCUUCACGCAUGCUACAAUGGCCGGUACAGAGGGUUGCGAUACUGUGAGGUGGAGCUAAUCCCUAAAAGCCGGUCUCAGUUCGGAUUGGGGUCUGCAACUCGACCCCAUGAAGUCGGAGUCGCUAGUAAUCGCAGAUCAGCAACGCUGCGGUGAAUACGUUCCCGGGCCU